rnacentral:rRNA from 1 species
GGGUUGUGAGGUUAAGCGACUAAGCGUACACGGUGGAUGCCCUGGCAGUCAGAGGCGAUGAAGGACGUGCUAAUCUGCGAUAAGCGUCGGUAAGGUGAUAUGAACCGUUAUAACCGGCGAUUUCCGAAUGGGGAAACCCAGUGUGUUUCGACACACUAUCAUUAACUGAAUCCAUAGGUUAAUGAGGCGAACCGGGGGAACUGAAACAUCUAAGUACCCCGAGGAAAAGAAAUCAACCGAGAUUCCCCCAGUAGCGGCGAGCGAACGGGGAGCAGCCCAGAGCCUGAAUCAGUGUGUGUGUUAGUGGAAGCGUCUGGAAAGGCGCGCGAUACAGGGUGACAGCCCCGUACACAAAAAUGCACAUGCUGUGAGCUCGAUGAGUAGGGCGGGACACGUGGUAUCCUGUCUGAAUAUGGGGGGACCAUCCUCCAAGGCUAAAUACUCCUGACUGACCGAUAGUGAACCAGUACCGUGAGGGAAAGGCGAAAAGAACCCCGGCGAGGGGAGUGAAAAAGAACCUGAAACCGUGUACGUACAAGCAGUGGGAGCACGCUUAGGCGUGUGACUGCGUACCUUUUGUAUAAUGGGUCAGCGACUUAUAUUCUGUAGCAAGGUUAACCGAAUAGGGGAGCCGAAGGGAAACCGAGUCUUAACUGGGCGUUAAGUUGCAGGGUAUAGACCCGAAACCCGGUGAUCUAGCCAUGGGCAGGUUGAAGGUUGGGUAACACUAACUGGAGGACCGAACCGACUAAUGUUGAAAAAUUAGCGGAUGACUUGUGGCUGGGGGUGAAAGGCCAAUCAAACCGGGAGAUAGCUGGUUCUCCCCGAAAGCUAUUUAGGUAGCGCCUCGUGAAUUCAUCUCCGGGGGUAGAGCACUGUUUCGGCAAGGGGGUCAUCCCGACUUACCAACCCGAUGCAAACUGCGAAUACCGGAGAAUGUUAUCACGGGAGACACACGGCGGGUGCUAACGUCCGUCGUGAAGAGGGAAACAACCCAGACCGCCAGCUAAGGUCCCAAAGUCAUGGUUAAGUGGGAAACGAUGUGGGAAGGCCCAGACAGCCAGGAUGUUGGCUUAGAAGCAGCCAUCAUUUAAAGAAAGCGUAAUAGCUCACUGGUCGAGUCGGCCUGCGCGGAAGAUGUAACGGGGCUAAACCAUGCACCGAAGCUGCGGCAGCGACGCUUAUGCGUUGUUGGGUAGGGGAGCGUUCUGUAAGCCUGUGAAGGUGUGCUGUGAGGCAUGCUGGAGGUAUCAGAAGUGCGAAUGCUGACAUAAGUAACGAUAAAGCGGGUGAAAAGCCCGCUCGCCGGAAGACCAAGGGUUCCUGUCCAACGUUAAUCGGGGCAGGGUGAGUCGACCCCUAAGGCGAGGCCGAAAGGCGUAGUCGAUGGGAAACAGGUUAAUAUUCCUGUACUUGGUGUUACUGCGAAGGGGGGACGGAGAAGGCUAUGUUGGCCGGGCGACGGUUGUCCCGGUUUAAGCGUGUAGGCUGGUUUUCCAGGCAAAUCCGGAAAAUCAAGGCUGAGGCGUGAUGACGAGGCACUACGGUGCUGAAGCAACAAAUGCCCUGCUUCCAGGAAAAGCCUCUAAGCAUCAGGUAACAUCAAAUCGUACCCCAAACCGACACAGGUGGUCAGGUAGAGAAUACCAAGGCGCUUGAGAGAACUCGGGUGAAGGAACUAGGCAAAAUGGUGCCGUAACUUCGGGAGAAGGCACGCUGAUAUGUAGGUGAAGUCCCUCGCGGAUGGAGCUGAAAUCAGUCGAAGAUACCAGCUGGCUGCAACUGUUUAUUAAAAACACAGCACUGUGCAAACACGAAAGUGGACGUAUACGGUGUGACGCCUGCCCGGUGCCGGAAGGUUAAUUGAUGGGGUUAGCGCAAGCGAAGCUCUUGAUCGAAGCCCCGGUAAACGGCGGCCGUAACUAUAACGGUCCUAAGGUAGCGAAAUUCCUUGUCGGGUAAGUUCCGACCUGCACGAAUGGCGUAAUGAUGGCCAGGCUGUCUCCACCCGAGACUCAGUGAAAUUGAACUCGCUGUGAAGAUGCAGUGUACCCGCGGCAAGACGGAAAGACCCCGUGAACCUUUACUAUAGCUUGACACUGAACAUUGAGCCUUGAUGUGUAGGAUAGGUGGGAGGCUUGGAAGUGUGGACGCCAGUCUGCAUGGAGCCGACCUUGAAAUACCACCCUUUAAUGUUUGAUGUUCUAACGUUGACCCGUAAUCCGGGUUGCGGACAGUGUCUGGUGGGUAGUUUGACUGGGGCGGUCUCCUCCUAAAGAGUAACGGAGGAGCACGAAGGUUGGCUAAUCCUGGUCGGACAUCAGGAGGUUAGUGCAAUGGCAUAAGCCAGCUUGACUGCGAGCGUGACGGCGCGAGCAGGUGCGAAAGCAGGUCAUAGUGAUCCGGUGGUUCUGAAUGGAAGGGCCAUCGCUCAACGGAUAAAAGGUACUCCGGGGAUAACAGGCUGAUACCGCCCAAGAGUUCAUAUCGACGGCGGUGUUUGGCACCUCGAUGUCGGCUCAUCACAUCCUGGGGCUGAAGUAGGUCCCAAGGGUAUGGCUGUUCGCCAUUUAAAGUGGUACGCGAGCUGGGUUUAGAACGUCGUGAGACAGUUCGGUCCCUAUCUGCCGUGGGCGCUGGAGAACUGAGGGGGGCUGCUCCUAGUACGAGAGGACCGGAGUGGACGCAUCACUGGUGUUCGGGUUGUCAUGCCAAUGGCACUGCCCGGUAGCUAAAUGCGGAAGAGAUAAGUGCUGAAAGCAUCUAAGCACGAAACUUGCCCCGAGAUGAGUUCUCCCUGACUCCUUGAGAGUCCUGAAGGAACGUUGAAGACGACGACGUUGAUAGGCCGGGUGUGUAAGCGCAGCGAUGCGUUGAGCUAACCGGUACUAAUGAACCGUGAGGCUUAACCUUACAACGCCGAAGGUGUUU